AAGAAUUUAGUUAAAACUAUAACAUAAGCUUGUCAUGCUUAAAUUAUUAAAAAUUAAUAAUUCUUA
rnacentral:tRNA from 1 species